GUGUCAGCAGCCGCGGUAAGACGAACCGUGCGAACGUUGUUCGGAAUCACUGGGCUUAAAGGGCGCGUAGGCGGGUCUUCAAGUUUGGGGUGAAAUCCUCCGGCUCAACCGGAGAACUGCCUCGAAUACUGAAGGUCUCGAGGGGGAUAGGGGCAUGCGGAACUACGGGUGGAGCGGUGAAAUGCGUUGAUAUCCGUAGGAACUCCGGUGGCGAAGGCGGCGUGCUGGAUCCCUUCUGACGCUGAGGCGCGAAAGCCAGGGGAGCAAACGGGAUUAGAAACCCCCGUAGUCC
rnacentral:rRNA from 1 species